CCAUGCCUACGGGGGGCAGCAGUGGGGAAUAUUGCACAAUGGGGGAAACCCUGAUGCAGCGACGCCGCGUGAGCGAAGAAGUAUUUCGGUAUGUAAAGCUCUAUCAGCAGGGAAGAAAAUGACGGUACCUGACUAAGAAGCCCCGGCUCAAUACGUGCCAGCAGCCGCGGUAAUACGUAUGGGGCAAGCGUUAUCCGGAUUUACUGGGUGUAAAGGGAGUGCAGGCGGCUUGGCAAGUCUGAUGUGAAAGGCUGGGGCUCAACCCAAGGACUGCAUUGGAAACUGUUAGGCUGGAGG
rnacentral:rRNA from 1 species